CCUACGGGAGGCAGCAGUGAGGAAUAUUGGACAAUGGGCGCAAGCCUGAUCCAGCCAUGCCGCGUGCAGGAUGACGGUCCUAUGGAUUGUAAACUGCUUUUGUACGAGAAGAAACACUGCCUCGUGAAGCAGCUUGACGGUAUCGUAAGAAUAAGGAUCGGCUAACUCCGUGCCAGCAGCCGCGGUAAU
rnacentral:rRNA from 1 species